GACGCUAAUACCGCAUCACAUCUGCCUUUGAAGAGGUGGACAUCAAAGCUGGGGAUCGCAAGACCUAGCGCUUGAAGAGGGGCCCGCGCCUGAUUAGCUAGUUGGUGGGGUAAUGGCUCACCAAGGCUACGAUCAGUAUCCGGCCUGAGAGGGCGGACGGACACACUGGGACUGAGACACGGCCCAGACUCCUACGGGAGGCAGCAGUGGGGAAUUGUUCGCAAUGGGCGCAAGCCUGACGACGCAACGCCGCGUGGAGGAUGAAGACCUUCGGGUCGUAAACUCCUUUCGAUCGAGACGAAUGGCCUCUGGGUAAAUACCCUGGAGGAGUGACGGUACCGAGAGAAGAAGCCCCGGCUAACUCCGUGCCAGCAGCCGCGGUAAUACGGGGGGGGCAAGCGUUGUUCGGAAUUACUGGGCGUAAAGGGCUCGUAGGCGGCCAACUAAGUCAGACGUGAAAUCCCUCGGCUUAACCGGGGAACUGCGUCUGAUACUGGAUGGCUUGAGUUCGGGAGAGGGAUGCGGAAUUCCAGGUGUAGCGGUGAAAUGCGUAGAUAUCUGGAGGAACACCGGUGGCGAAGGCGGCAUCCUGGACCGAAACUGACGCUGAUGAGCGAAAGCCAGGGGAGCAAACGG
rnacentral:rRNA from 1 species